GAGGGUAUAGCUCAGUGGUAGAAUGCUUGCUUAGCAUGCAUGAGGUCCUGGGUUCAGUCCUCAGUACCUCCA
rnacentral:tRNA from 1 species